CUCUGUGACUCCUACGGGAGGCAGCAGUGGGGAAUAUUGCACAAUGGGCGCAACCCUGAUGCAGCCAUGCCGCGUGUGUGAAGAAGGCCUUCGGGUUGUAAAGCACUUUCAGUAGGGAGGAAGGUAGUGUAGUUAACACCUGCAUUAUUUGACGUUACCUACAGAAGAAGCACCGGCUAACUCCGUGCCAGCAGCCGCGGUAAUACGGAGGGUGCGAGCGUUAAUCGGAAUUACUGGGCGUAAAGCGCAUGCAGGCGGCCUGUUAAGUCAGAUGUGAAAGCCCGGGGCUUAACCUCGGAAUUGCAUUUGAAACUGGCAGGCUAGAGUCUUGUAGAGGGGGUAGAAUUUCAGGUGUAGCGGUGAAAUGCGUAGAGAUCUGAAGGAAUACCAGUGGCGAAGGCGGCCCCCUGGACAAAGACUGACGCUCAGAUGCGAAAGCGUGGGGAGCAAACAGGAUUAGAUACCCUGGUAG
rnacentral:rRNA from 1 species